rnacentral:lncRNA from 1 species
GGGCCAUGCCCACAGCAUACAGGGGUUCCCAGGCUAGAGGUCCAAUCCAAGCUGUAGCUGCCAGCCUACACCACAGCCAAGCAAUGCAGGAUCUGAGACGCAUCUGUGAUCUACACCACAGAUCACGGUAACGCCAGAUCCUUAACCCACUGAGCAAAGCCAGCGAUUGAACCUGUGUCCUCAGAUUCAUUAACCGCUGAGCCAUGAAGGGAACUCCAAACUUUUUUUUUUUUCUUUUUACAACUGCACCUGCAGCAUAUGGAAGUUCCCGGGCCAGGAGCGGAAUUGGAGCUGCAGAUGCCGGCCUACACCAGAGCCACAGCAACACCAGAUCUGAGCUGAAUCUGUGACCUAUGCGGCAGCUUGCAGCAAUGCUGGAUUCUUAACACGCUGAUCGAGGCCAGGGAUCGAACCCGCAUCCUCAUGGAGACUAUGUCAGGUCUUUAGCCCACUAAGCCACAAUGGGCACUCCGUGGGCUUAAACUUUUAGAUGGUUGUGUUUUGUUCGGUUUGGUUUUUGUCGGGGAGGGGCAGUGGGGUGAUAAAGAGAGUGAAGCUGUUCCUUCUGGAGCUGGAAAGCACACAAGUUAGUGGCCACAGGGGCACUCUCAUUUUGAGACCAUGCCAUAUCCCAUGAAAAUCUAGAGAGGGGUUUUCUCGAGUCGGCAGGUCCAGGCUGGUGGGUUAAAGGAAAGAGAGAGGGCACAAAAGAUAAGUAAUCUCAGAACGUAGGGCUCAGAAGCAAAGAACAGAAAACUCAAUGGAUACAAAGAAAGAAAGAAAUCACUGCACAGUGUGCCAGGGCUGCAGCAGCCCAGACACACCUGGCAGCCUGGGACUCGGAGGGAAGCAGUGUCAGAUGCCAUGGGAGAAGUGGCACCAAGUACCUGCUCCUGGUGCCCCUGGGGCCCACCUCAAGUGAGGGGGAGAAAGGUCUUUGUGGUUUUGUGGUAUGUGUUUCAAAAGUUAAGAAUCUAAUUUUUAUUAAAAUGGCAAGAUCACUGUGUCAAAAAAAAGAAAAAAAGAAAAAGGAAUCAAGUCUCAGAACAGCAUGGAAAAGAGCAGAGAAACAGUGGGAAAGAUCCCCACCUAUUCCUUCUGCAGCAACACACCAAAACAACUAUGUCUUUUCAUGAGACAUACGUAAAAAGGGCCUCUACCUAUUAUAAUAUAUUUAUAACCCUGCUAAAGAGAAGUCUUAUGCACUUGAAACAAUCAUUAGGGAAUCCCAAGCAACCUUUAAAUGCUAAAUAUAAUCUUGCAAUUACAAAAAAUAACUGGAUAGACAUGCCAAUUUUAUUAGUACAGCUAAACUAGGAAAAACGCAGGUAGAGCUAAACAAAAUUGAUGCAAAAGAACCAAAAGUGUUGAGAGUAUCAUGUGUGGAAAAAAGUUUUUAAGUUCCAAAGCACUGCAAACCACGGAAAGGGUAAGUUCUUUUCUUUGCAUUUCCACUGACUCUAAAAAUAAACCUCUAAAAUUUUCCAGUCUAUAAAAGAAAUAUAAGCUCUUUAUUUUAAAAUAUUCCAACACUACAUAAAUGCAUCAUAUAGAAAACCAUAACCAUCCCCUAUGGAGGUAACCAGUGUUAAUAGUUGGGUAACAACUGCUUUUUUGACUACUUGAGACAAAGGAAUAGGAGAGCUGCUCUGAACCAGUUUAUAUACUAUUUCAGUUUCCCCUUUGAAACCCUUCCUACUACUCCACUGCUAAGGAGGCAGAAAAGGAAAAAUAACACCCAAAACACAUGCUGAUCCUCCAAAACAGGCAAACCACAAACAAGAUUAAUCCUUGGAAAAAAGAAAGGGGGAGGGGUGGGACUUGGCAAAACUAUUACACUAAGUGGCAGAAACAAAUAUUACUGGAAUUUGAAAAAUGGAGUAAAAGUAGGAAAAAUGCUAACCUUUCCUUUGUGCUGUCCUCAAUAAUCAAAAACGGGGAUAGCACUUUUUUCUUGAGAGAAAACUGAAGUAACCUCUAUAAUUAUCAAUGUUUUUUUUAGCUUUUAAAGAAUGUUGUAGGAGUUCCCUCAUGGCUCAGUGGGUUAAGGAUCUAGCAUUGCACUGCUGUGGCUUGGGUUUGACCCCUAGCCCAGGAACUUCCAUAUGCCAUAGGCAUGGCCGGAAAAAAAAAAAGAAAAAGAAAAAAAAAUGUUGUACAAAUUAGGAUUUCUGGAGCGCCAGAAGUAAGGAAGUGCUCAAAAAACACACACUAAUGAGCAAAUGGCAAAGGAACACAAGAGCCAACAAAAAGCUUGCAGCUUCCAGAGCUAAAAAAAUGAUAAUGACAAAAUAAUGUAAUAUUAGAUUAUAACCUAAAGUAUAAAAUAAAUAUCCACAAGUCCAUACUACUAUAAAUAAGUGAUAAAAUAAGUAAAUGGGGGAGAACAGACACAUUUCCCAAGCAGAAUUCCAAAUAACUUGUGUAAAUACUUUGCCCCCAAGGAGGCGGAGCAUAACUGCUGCCACUUUUAGUGUGGGCUGCACACUGACUUCCUUCCAAAAAUAACAGUAGGAAAAGCGGGGGAGAAAAAAAUAACCUCACGGUGGAGAAACUUGACAAACACUCCCUCAGUCAGGUGAUCAAUAUCACAUCAACAGCGAUAAGUCACAUUGCUAGUGUGUACUUUUACUAAAAAAUGCUAUGAGAACGGCAUUUUACCUCUGUGGUCUUCCUCUGCUAAACCUGUAAGUACAGCCUAAUCAUGAGGAAAACAUCACAUAAAUCCCAAUUGUGGGACAGUCUACAAAACACCUACGCAGUACUCCUCAAAACUGUCAAGCUCAUCACAAUCAAGGCCCGUCCAGAAACUGUCACAGCCAAGAGGAGUCUCACGACACAACAGCUAAAUGUAAUGUGGGAUCCUGGAAGGGAUCCUGUUAGAAAAAGGACAGCAACACAACUUAGAAUAGAUUUACAAGGAGAUCCUGCUGAAUAGCAUUGAGAACUAUGUCCAGACACUCAUGUUGCAACAGAACAAAGGGUGGGGAAAAAAAUGUAAUUGUAACGUAUACAUGUAAGGAUAACUUGAUCCCCCUUGCUGUACAGUGGGAAAAUAAAUUAAAAAAAAGAAAUUAAAAAAAAAGAAAAAGGAUAGCAAGUGAAAACUAAGGGAAUACGAACAAAAAGAUGUUGGAGUUCCUAUUGUGGCUCAACAGUAACGAGUCCAACUAGUAUCCAUGUGGACUUGGGUUCAAUCCCUGGCCUUGCUACCAUGAGCCAUGGUGUAGGUUGCAGAUGUGGCUUGGAUCUGGCAUUACUGUAGCUGUGGCUUAGGCCAGCUCCGAUUAGGCUCCUAGCCUGGGAACAUCCAUAUGCUGUUCGAUCCCUGGCCUCGCUCAGUGGGUCAAGGAUCCGGUGUUGCUGUGAGCUGUGGUGUAGGUUACAGAUGUGGCUCAGAUUCCACGUUGCUGUGGCUGUGGCAUAGGUUGGGAGCUAUAGUUCUGAUUCGACCCUGGGAACUUCCAUAUGCUGUGGAUGCAGCCCCAAAAAACAAACAAAAAAACCUAAAAAAAAUAUCUAAAACGAGGGUAAGAGUAUAUCAUUUUUAGGGCCACACCUGUGGCAUAUGGAGGUUCCCAGGCCAGGGGUCUAAUUGAAGCUACAGCUGCCGGCCUACACCACAGCCACAGCAAC